rfam:Neochlamydia sp. EPS4 DB42_DM, whole genome shotgun sequence.
GGAGAAGGCCCUCCGAAGUCGGUUUUCAGGAACAGGCUUCAAACCACCUUAAGCUGCUGUUAUUAAGAGUAAUGGUAGUGAGCAUUAAGGAAAAGUCGAGAUAAAACUCGGAAGGU